AUAUCAAUAAGCGGAGGAAAAGAAACCAACAGGGAUUGCCCUAGUAACGGCGAGUGAAGCGGCAACAGCUCAAAUUUUAAAUCUGCCUUCGGCCCGAGUUGUAGUCUAUAGAGGAUGUCUUCUGACGCAGUGCCUUCCGAGUUCCCUGGAACGGGACGCCAUAGAGGGUGAGAGCCCCGUACCCGGCCGGAUGGCAGCGCCAUGUGACUCCUUCGACGAGUCGAGUUGUUUGGGAAUGCAGCUCAAAAUGGGUGGUAAAUUCCAUCUAAAGCUAAAUAUUGGUGGGAGACCGAUAGCGCACAAGUA
rnacentral:rRNA from 1 species